rnacentral:rRNA from 1 species
GACAGAGGGUGCAAACGUUGUUCGGAAUUACUGGGCGUAAAGCGCAUGUAGGCGGCCAAGCAGGUUGGAUGUGAAAUCCCUCGGCUCAACCAAGGAAGUGCAUUCGAAACCGCAUGGCUGGAGUCCCGGAGAGGAUGGUGGAAUUCUCGGUGUAGAGGUGAAAUUCGUAGAUAUCGAGAGGAACACCGGCGGCGAAAGCGGCCAUCUGGACGAGGACCGACGCUGAGAUGCGAAAGCGUGGGGAGCAAACGGG